rnacentral:rRNA from 1 species
AGUGAACGCUGGCGGUAGGCCUAACACAUGCAAGUCGAACGGCAGCACAGUAAGAGCUUGCUCUUACGGGUGCCGAGUGGCGGACGGGUGAGGAAUACAUCGGAAUCUACUUUUUCGUGGGGGAUAACGUAGGGAAACUUACGCUAAUACCGCAUACGACCUACGGGUGAAAGCAGGGGAUCUUCGGACCUUGCGCGAUUCAAUGAGCCGAUGUCGGAUUAGCUAGUUGGCGGGGUAAAGGCCCACCAAGGCGACGAUCCGUAGCUGGUCUGAGAGGAUGAUCAGCCACACUGGAACUGAGACACGGUCCAGACUCCUACGGGAGGCAGCAGUGGGGAAUAUUGGACAAUGGGCGCAAGCCUGAUCCAGCCAUACCGCGUGGGUGAAGAAGGCCUUCGGGUUGUAAAGCCCUUUUGUUGGGAAAGAAAAGCAGCAGGUUAAUACCCCGCUGUUCUGACGGUACCCAAAGAAUAAGCACCGGCUAACUUCGUG